AUGGCUGCCAAUAUGGCCGCCAAGCCCCCAAUAUGGACUGUACCCCCAAUCCAACAUGGCUGCCAAUUCAAUAUGGCCGCCAAUGCAAUAUGGCCGCCCUCAAUCCAAUAUGGCCGCCCAAUCCAACAUGGCCGCCAAUCCAACAUGGCCGCCGAUCCAACAUGGCCGCCAAUCCAACAUGGCCGCCGAUCCAAGAUGACCGCCAAUCCAAUAUGGCCGCCCCCAAUCCAAGAUGGCCGCUAAUCCAAGAUGGCCGCCGAUCCAACAUGGCUGCCAAUCCAAGAUGGCUGCCAGUCCAAUAUGGACCCCAAUCCAAUAUGGCCGCCCAAUCCAACAUGGCCGUCGAUCCAAGAUGGCCGCCAAUCCAAGACGGCCGCCCCCAAUCCAAUAUGGCCGCCCUCAGUCCAAGAUGGCCGCCAAUCCAAGAUGGCCGCCAAUCCAAUAUGGCCGCCCUCAAUCCAAGAUGGCUGCCAUUCCAAGAUGGCCGCCAAUCCAACAUGGCCGCCAAUCCAACAUGGCUGCCAAUCCAAGAUGGCUGCUAAUCCAAUAUGGACCCCAAUCCAACAUGGCCGCCCCCAAUCCAACAUGGCCGUCGAUCCAAGAUGGCUGCCAAUCCAAGAUGGCCGCCCAAUCCAACAUGGCUGCCAUUCCAAGAUGGCCCCCAAUCCAAGAUGGCCGCCAAUCCAAGUUGGCCGCCAAUCCAAGAUGGCCGCCCAAUCCAAGAUGGCCGCCGAUCCAAGAUGGCCGCCGAUCCAAGAUGGCCGCCAAUCCAACAUGGCCGCCCGAUCCAAGAUGGCUGCCAAUCCAUCAUGGACCCCAAUCCAAGGUGGCCGCCGAUCCAAGAUGGCCGCCGAUCCAAGAUGGCCGCCAAUCCAACUCGGCCCGAUCCAAGAUGGCCGCUUAUUCAACAUGUCUGCCAAUCCAAUAUGGCCGCCGAUCCAAGAUGGCCGCCAAUCCAACAUGGCCGCCCAAUCCAAGAUGGCCGCCGAUCCAAGAUGGCCGCCGAUCCAAGAUGGCCGCCGCCCCCCCACCCACGCGCUGUGCCUUCCGUAUGGGGGGGGUCCUUCAUAUGGGGGGGGUCCUUUGUAUGGGGGGGGUCCGCGGUGCUCCCGAUUUUGGGCUGUUUUGCCCCAUUUUUUUCUUUUAUUUAUUCCUUUUUUUUUUAACCCCCCCCCCCUUAAAAAAAAAAAUAAAGAAAAAAAACCCGGAUGGAAUUUUACAAGCGAUGCAAAUGAGAUGCAAACGAGCCGCCCGUCCCAACCAAUGGGAGAACAGGGGGAGUGGGGGGGGCGUGGCGUCGCGAGUGGGCGGGGCUUCCCCUCAAGGUCACUUCCAUAUAAGGACACGCCCCCGUGACGUCACUGCGGGGACUCCCCCCCAUUGCGGCAUCCCGAGGACCCGCAGCACGUUGCUAUGGCGACCGCCGGCCCGUUCCCAUGGAGACCCCGCAGCCAAUCAGCGUGGACCCCCCCUUAUCCCGUUGCUAUGGAGCCCCGUUGCCAUGGGAACGGGCGCAGGGAUGCUGCGGCGGGGAAUGACUGCAGAGAAACGGGGGGGGGAAAUGUUCACUGGGUCUGUUAAAAUUGUGGGUGUAUCCUGAGGGCCCGCUCCAUU
rnacentral:lncRNA from 1 species